UACGUAGGGGGCUAGCGUUGUUCGGAUUUACUGGGCGUAAAGCGCACGUAGGCGGCUUGUUAAGUCAGGUGUGAAAUCCUGGAGCUCAACUCCAGAACUGCCUUUGAUACUGGCAAUCUAGAGUCCGGAAGAGGUGAGUGGAACUCCUAGUGUAGAGGUGGAAUUCGUAGAUAUUAGGAAGAACACCAGUGGCGAAGGCGGCUCACUGGUCCGGUACUGACGCUGAGGUGCGAAAGCGUGGGGAGCAAACAGG
rnacentral:rRNA from 1 species